GGGUUCACUCUGGCAGCACAUGUGCUAAAAUUGGAACAUAGCAGGGAAGAUUAGCAGGGCCUCUGCACAAGGCUGACAUGCAAAUUUGUGCAGCAAGUCACGAAAGA
ensembl:snRNA U6 U6 spliceosomal RNA